CUGAGCUCCCUCAGCCUGUGUCCUGCCUCCUCACUUGCCGGCUCCUGCCCGCCCAGCAGGGGGCGCUCCCCACCCCGAGGGAGGUGGCAAAGCCUGACGCGCGAGGGAGACCGGCUGGGCGUGAUGACUCCGGUGCAGAGCCAGAGGGAGCAGGACUGGGAGUCCGCGCAGCAGGCCCGCGUGGUGGAC